UACGUAGGGUGCAGGCGUUAAUCGGAAUUACUGGGCGUAAAGCGUGCGCAGGCGGUUUGCUAAGACAGGUGUGAAAUCCCCGGGCUUAACCUGGGAACUGCGCUUGUAACUGGCAAGCUUGAGUGUGGCAGAGGGGGGUGGAAUUCCACGUGUAGCAGUGAAAUGCGUAGAUAUCAGGAGGAACACCGAUGGCGGAGGCAGGUCUCUGGGCUGACACUGACGCUCAUGCACGAAAGCGUGGGGAGCAAACAGG
rnacentral:rRNA from 1 species